UACGUAGGGUGCAAGCGUUGUCCGGAAUUAUUGGGCGUAAAGAGCGUGUAGGCGGUUCGGUAAGUCUGUCGUGAAAUCCUGAGGCUCAACCUCGGGCGUGCGAUGGAUACUGCCGGGCUAGAGGGUGGUAGAGGCGAGUGGAAUUCCCGGUGUAGCGGUGAAAUGCGCAGAUAUCGGGAGGAACACCAGUAGCGAAGGCGGCUCGCUGGGCCACACCUGACGCUGAGACGCGAAAGCUAGGGGAGCGAACAGG
rnacentral:rRNA from 1 species